AAGUCGUAACAAGGUUUCCGUAGGUGAACCUGCGGAAGGAUCAUUAAUGAAUUAAUGGAAUGGUUUGAGUGUGGGAGUAGGGGUGUGGAUGGUGGAUGAUUUGGUUGUGGUGGUGGGCGUAUGUAUUUGUAUGUCUGCUGUUGUUGGCUGUGUCGUCAUUAUUUACAUUUCUAUUCUCACAACAAAUCUCUCACAAUGUGCAUUGAAAUAUGAUUUGUGUGGUCGCAUUUAAUGGCUUUGAUUGAUUCUUCAAUUACAGUCGUGGCCACAUUUUUACUUUACUCAUUUUGAUACAACGAAAUCAUUUCUGAAUAAAUGCAAGGGUUUUAGUUGUUACAACUGCCCUGCUUAGGAUUCAUUUACUAAAACUUUUAGCAACGGAUCUCUAGGCUCUU
rnacentral:misc_RNA from 1 species